CAAAGGGAAACUAUUUAGAAGCAAGAGCUAUGAUUGAGAAGGCACAGUGAUCUCUUAUAGUGAUGAGAAGCAAGAGCUAUGAUUGAGAAGGCACAGUGAUCUCUUAUAGUGAUGAAAUUGGAGGCAUAGAUGCUGUCAUGGACAACGGCAUAAAAGGCAGCACCUAUUUGGCCUUGGUGUUGGAAAACCGAAGAUUGAGUAGUCUUUGGUGCAAACCCCUAUACAUAGGGGUAGAACGUUGCUUCACUCAACAGGAAAAGGUCAUUUCAGCACUGUUAGAUUGAGAUAGUGGAUGAUAGGAUUGGUUCCAUUUUCUUCAUUUCAGCCGACCAGCAAUUCUCUCAGCUGAUACUCCCCCUGGCAAUCAGCUUCUUUAGCUGUGCAUUAUUUGGAAUAACUUUUCUUUAUGCAAUAAGAAGAGACUGUACAAUUUUCUGCUUUAAGACACGGAUAAUUGCAGUGGGCUGUCUAAAGGUCUUGCUUCCAUGGAUGCUGGAAAACCUUGGAAUUGGAAUAUGCAAGCUUAUUUUCACAUGGUUUUGAUGGUGCAGUUUUUGUUUCCAAAAAUCUUUUCCUCUUUAUGUUUUGUGGCUGUUGCCCUGGAUUUCUGCUAUCAGAAUCUGUGUAUGCAUUGUCAAGUCUGCAAGUGGAAGUUUAUGCUUGUUUGCGAACCAUCCAGUGGGCUGCUUGACGGUUUAGCUGCACUCACAUCUUCUCUGAUCCCAGCAACUUGGUUUUGCAAUUUAAUGUGUAAUGUGUAGUAGAUUAGUAGUGAAUGACAUUAGGUCUACUAUCCAAGACAUUGUUUGGCUAAAUUUGACCUUUUUUCGUGUUGUUUUUUUUUUUUUUUUGUUUGUAAAAUAUGAGGGUGUAAACAGGCUUAAAGGGCUCACACCUUGGCUGUAAUCUAAUAAUAUAUUUUGAUGUUCUCUUUUGUUUC